rnacentral:snoRNA from 1 species
ACCUUCCAGAUUCCUUCUUCCUCAGAUCUAAAUAUUGAUCUGAGCGGCUAACAAGGAAGAAGGGUAAUGUGGAAAUGGAUUUAGUCUUUAGUGACAUACACGCUCAUUUCAAACAAAU